AUUGAACGCUGGCGACAGGCCUAACACAUGCAAGUCGAGCGGAUGAAGGGAGCUUGCUCCUGGAUUCAGCGGCGGACGGGUGAGUAAUGCCUAGGAAUCUGCCUGGUAGUGGGGGAUAACGUCCGGAAACGGGCGCUAAUACCGCAUACGUCCUGAGGGAGAAAGUGGGGGAUCUUCGGACCUCACGCUAUCAGAUGAGCCUAGGUCGGAUUAGCUAGUUGGUGGGGUAAAGGCCUACCAAGGCGACGAUCCGUAACUGGUCUGAGAGGAUGAUCAGUCACACUGGAACUGAGACACGGUCCAGACUCCUACGGGAGGCAGCAGUGGGGAAUAUUGGACAAUGGGCGAAAGCCUGAUCCAGCCAUGCCGCGUGUGUGAAGAAGGUCUUCGGAUUGUAAAGCACUUUAAGUUGGGAGGAAGGGCAGUAAGUUAAUACCUUGCUGUUUUGACGUUACCAACAGAAUAAGCACCGGCUAACCUCGUG
rnacentral:rRNA from 1 species